ACUCAAAUGAAUUGACGGGGACCCGCACAAGCAGCGGAGCAUGUGGUUUAAUUCGAAGCAACGCGAAGAACCUUACCAGGGCUUGACAUCCCGAUGACCGGUACAGAGAUGUACCUUCUCUUCGGAGCAUCGGUGACAGGUGGUGCAUGGUUGUCGUCAGCUCGUGUCGUGAGAUGUUGGGUUAAGUCCCGCAACGAGCGCAACCCCUGUUUUUAGUUGCCAUCAGGUAAAGCUGGGCACUCUAGAGAGACUGCCGGGGAUAACUCGGAGGAAGGUGGGGACGACGUCAAAUCAUCAUGCCCCUUAUGUCCUGGGCUACACACGUGCUACAAUGGCCGGAAACAGAGGGCAGCGAAGCCGCGAGGCGAAGCGAAUCCCAGAAAGCCGGUCCCAGUUCGGAUUGCGGGCUGCAACUCGCCCGCAUGAAGUCGGAGUUGCUAGUAAUCGCGAAUCAGCACGUCGCGGUGAAUGCGUUCCCGGGUCUUGUACACACCGCCCGU
rnacentral:rRNA from 1 species